rnacentral:rRNA from 1 species
UACGAAGGGGGCGAGCGUUGUUCGGAUUUACUGGGCGUAAAGGGCGCGCAGGCGGCUCAUCAAGUCAGGCGUGAAAGCCCCGGGCUUAACCUGGGAGGUGCGUCUGGGACUGGUGGGCUAGAGAUCGGGAGAGGAGAGUGGAAUUCCCAGUGUAGAGGUGAAAUUCGUAGAUAUUCGGAAGAACACCAGUGGCGAAGGCGGCUCACUGGACUGGUAUUGACGCUGAGGUGCGAAAGUGUGGGGAGCAAACAGG